rnacentral:rRNA from 1 species
GAUGAACGCUAGCGGCAGGCUUAAUACAUGCAAGUCGAGGGGCAGCAUGAAUGUAGCAAUACAUUUGAUGGCGACCGGCAAACGGGUGCGGAACACGUACACAACCUUCCUAUAAGUGGGGAGUAGCCCAGAGAAAUUUGGAUUAAUACCCCGUAACAUAACGAUGUGGCAUCACAUUGUUAUUAUAGUUUCGACGCUUAUUGAUGGGUGUGCGGCUGAUUAGAUAGUUGGCGGGGUAACGGCCCACCAAGUCUACGAUCAGUAGCUGAUGUGAGAGCAUGAUCAGCCACACGGGCACUGAGACACGGGCCCGACUCCUACGGGAGGCAGCAGUAAGGAAUAUUGGACAAUGGGCGCAAGCCUGAUCCAGCCAUGCCGCGUGCAGGAAGACGGUCCUAUGGAUUGUAAACUGCUUUUGUACAGGAAGAAACACUCCCUCGUGAGGGAGCUUGACGGUACUGUAAGAAUAAGGAACGGCUAACUCCGUGCCAGCAGCCGCAGUAAUAC